rnacentral:lncRNA from 1 species
CAAAAUGACUCUUGGUUCGUCUAAAGACAAACUCGGGAGUGUUAGGAAUUUCAUAAAAAAUAAUAAUAAUAAUAAUAAUAAUAAUAAUAAAUAUUAUAGUAGAACCCAAUAGUUUGUUCGAGAAGGGAAGAUGACUGUCUAAGUGAAAUUCAAUUUACGAAAUAUUCCAAGAUUGUUGGACCACAAGGUUUUAUCGAAUUCCUUUGCCAUAUGAAAAGUGGCUUUUCUCUAACUAGUAAUUUGACAAAUUGUUGUCUUUCGUGAUGUCUUUUAUGCAUAUUUUUAUGAAAAUUAAUUUUAACAAGAUAUUUCAGUAUACAUGAUGGACUAAAAGGAUAAACGUAUAAUGACACCCUUAUUUGAUCUAAUUUUCAAUUUUCAAACUGAAGCGCUAGUUUCGAGUCAAUGCUCUUUCUUGCUCAUGCUUGCAUAAUUUAUUGAAAAUAAGACGUGAUUUGUUCUGGUCGGGUUUUGAAUGUAAAAUAAACCACAUACAAGUAAAUAGAGGUGAGCCAAAAUGGCUAGAAUGGUUAUGGACAAAAUAGGGAUGAACUGGAAAAUCUCUUUUUCGAGGUUGCUAGCAAAAGAAGAGAAUGAAUAAAUCCAAUGGCCACAAUCAAGAGGAACGAUAGACGAAAGCAGUUUGUAGUGAUAAGUUCAAAGGAAAUUUGGAUGAUCUCCAUCCCGUUGCAGUCAAGAAAGAUAAAAAGAGGAUAACUCUCCUCUUGACAUGGAAAUGUUUCAGGAAGAAAGGGAGCGUCUACAUUAGCAUAGAGGGUCAACAUUUCAUGUUCUAGUUUUUUAUUAGACGAAAUUGCAGAAACUUUUGAAACUUUGUAUUUGAAUUCAUUUUGAGUCUAAUGUUUUGGAUCAUUAGAUCUUUAGUAAUGUUUGAUUUCUAUGCCCGAGAAUGUUCGGAG